rnacentral:lncRNA from 1 species
CAAAGCCGACCUCCUCGCCCCGCCCCCUCCGUCCCGCCCGGGCUGCUCGCCCCGCCCCCGCGCGGCGCUGGGAGGCGGGAGCUGUCUCUGAGAACCUGCGGGAGAGCGCCCGGGCUUGCUGCUUCCCGGACCCGCGCGUCUCUCGAGCACCCUCGUCCCACCACCUUGUGAGGCCGUAGUGUUAUUUUUAUUUUUUAGAUCAGCAGACUGAGACUCGAGGUGACGUCACUCCGCAGAGAGGUUAGCUGACUUGAAGAAAACGGGUAUCUCCUCUUUCCAUUUCGCCCGUGUAAACAGCCGAACUGCCUAUUAUAAAAGCAUGGACUGCCAGCAUUGGAGUGGUCCUUAGAGGCCUAUUAUGAAAUCAUAGAAUGUCUGCAUUGGAAUCGCCUCACCUCCUUUUACCGCUGGAGAAGCCGACGGACAGACGGGCAGCGACCCCCGCCGUCGCACAACCCGUCUAGGCAGAGAGCGCAGGAGACGGGAGGGCGGCAGGGACACAUCUCCCAGCCAAGGACCUCCUGGGCCCGCAGAGGCCGCGACAGGUUCCCCCCACAGAGGGAACCAACUCUGCCGCAGGUUAGAGCACAGCAGACUGAGCCACCCAGAACUGGCCCCUCCGGUGGACCAGCCCCUGCGGAUUCACAGACCACUGGUCCUGGAAGGGACCUUGUCAAGCAGGCCCAUAAGACUUCAUUAUCAUGGUUGCCUGACCCAACACAACAUAUUUGGAGGAGGAGAGGGGACACUUUUAUUGUACCCCAUCACGUGGCUGAGUCAUUUGGCUCUCCAUUCACUGGAACAGACGACUAUGGACACCACCAUUGGGUUUCCCACCAAGGACAGAGUUCCAAAGCAACAGUGGCUUCCAUGGUUGGCUCACCCAGCCUGCCUGAGUCAUCAGCUAGGUCCACAGAGUAGAGAAGUGGGUAGUGCCCCCGCCUAACAUCUGGAAAAAUUCCCAAAAGUUGUGACUUCAUGACCACUGAGUCAGCAGCAACUCUUUUCUUGCCAAGAAUAGCACAUUGUUCUUUUCCUUUUCAGGUAAUCCCUCCCCGGAAAGAGAAGAUCACAGAUUUUGUCAUAUUAAAUACAUUGUAGAAAUUCAUGGUAGCAGGGGCAAGAUCAUUUAAACAAAACAGAAAGUUUCAGAGAGAGAAAAAGCCAAGGACAAAGAUUAAUCAUUUUUCUGCUUAAAAAAAAUGGCUUUGAUUUGCAACCAUGGAAUGCUCCACUGUUUCUCUUCUCUUCAAAGACAUCUACUGAAAGGAUUCCUUAACCUUACCAAGUGGCCAAAAUACUUUUCUGAGAAGAGUCACAGAGCAUAGGCCCCCCUAGGGUACACAGAGAUUUCAUUAGUCCCUAGAUGUUUCCUGAUCCUUUUAAAAACUGGUUAAAUUCAGAGACUCUAGGCAAUUACUUCUUUCAGAACCUGUGAGGCAAAAACGAAAGAAGAAGGCAGGACACGCAGUGUAACAAACCUUGGAAUGGACUUCGCCAGACUUCAUCAGAAGAAAGCAGUGCAAGAGGGGACUGCAGAGGAAAGCUGGGGCUUGGGAAACCAGCAGCAGGGGCCACGUGGGCAGGUGGUUUCUGUGUGAACCUCUGAUCUGUGCAACAUAAACAGGAAAUGUUGAAGGCUUCCAGUGCUCUUUUUUGAUGUCGAGAACAUUCUACGGCACAAAAGAGUUUGCCUCUCACUGUUUCUCAUAUAUGGAGGUUUUCUAAUCAGCAUCCUGAACAGAAUUGAAUUAAAAAUAAAAACCAAAGUAAAACUAGCUU